UCCCAAAGCUCUCGGAACUUGCUCGCAACAGCCCCGCCGAUCUGCACCGAUCUCCCCGUGAAACAAUCGCACUUGGCAAUGGCACUGGUUAAGCAUGAGCAUUAGCAUUGAGUCAGUUGCUCGCCUGAACAGCUCGGCCAGACAGCAGAACGUGAGAAUCAACUGAACACCGGAGACAGACGACAUAUGUCGGCCGAUAAAGAUGUCAGCGAUCUUGUAGGCCAGUGCACACGCAGUACUUGGAUCGCUCUUAUCGGCCAGAUAAACCCAGCAGCAUAAGGGGGAGUUCUAUUGCGUUAACGCUUUUCAGCUGAUGGCUGAUAAUACGGCUAAAAGCUUAGUGCUUAUUUUUGGCCACUUAAUGCGGCUUAUACCGGAACCGUACGCAGACGCAUUCUUGUUUAUCUAGUUUGCUAGAUUAUAUUUUUGAAAAAAUGAAAGAAAUAGUUAAAUGGAGAAUGCAAUUUAUAUUAUGAGCUUUAUACAUCUAUGAGUUUAAUAAUAAAUUACAAAGCAGAAGUAAACAUCACGAA
rnacentral:sRNA from 1 species